rnacentral:rRNA from 1 species
GAUGAACGCUAGCGGCAGGCCUAAUACAUGCAAGUCGAACGGUUGUUAGCAAUAACAAUAGUGGCGCACGGGUGCGUAACACGUAACUAACCUACCUAUAACUGGGGGAUAGCCCGCCGAAAGGCGGAUUAAUACCGCAUAAGCUGCUUGAGUGGCAUCACUCGAUUAGUAAAGAUUUAUUGGUUAUAGAUGGGGUUGCGGGUCAUUAGCUAGUUGGUAAGGUAACGGCUUACCAAGGCGACGAUGACUAGGGGAGCUGAGAGGCUGGUCCCCCACACGGGCACUGAGAUACGGGCCCGACUCC